GCACGCCCUCUCCCCCGCCUCAUUUCCAUGGCUUGGCCUCUGACUCACUGCAGCUGGAAAAGGAACCGUCCACCUGGGUUUGGUCAUGCUGCAAUUAGGAAAGCCCUGAGCUCCCUGCAUGCUGGUCAGGCAGGCUCAGAACACACUGCAGGGGAAACAGCUCUAUGAUUCCUUUCCAGAGCCACAGGGCCCUUGAGUUACUGUCAGGGAAUCUGAAAAACAAAGGGAGAAAGGGAAGAGAUGGAGGGACCUGGGCUCAGUCACAGUUUCAGACACUAAGGUGUGUUGGCAGAGCUGUGGGGGCCUCAGAUCUGUAAUAGCUGGGGUGCUGGAUCAGAACUGAUUUGCAUUGUGUAGGGGACAGAGGCCCAGGAUGAUAACAGGGGGUGUCUUUGGACAGGCUGAGAAGCACCGGCACAGCUGCGGGAAGGAAGUUUGCUCACCUUCCACUGGUUAUAGGCCUGACUUGAGCCAAGUGCAUUUACACAGAGCUGCUCUCCAGCCCAAUGGGGGUUCAGGGCUCAUGUGGUGAGCAUAUCUAGGCCUGCAUGCACACAGGAACAGAUACUGCAGCACUGCCUUGGCAGAGUCCAACCAGCUGGCAUCAAACUAACAGCUGGGGCGUUCCUGCCCUCCUCACAUUCGUGCUCAGAUUACUGCUGCAGAAGGAGCUAAUUAAACCUUCUCUUCCUGCUCUGCCCAGGAGCAGAACUCUUAAUUGUAUAUCUUGCAAAUGUGCUUGGAAAAUGGAUUAGAUGCACCAGCUGUUUACUACCAUGGCAGAGCCUUUUCCGAAGCAUUUAUAGCGGCUCCCAAGUAUUAUCCACGUUCCCUGCUCUGGCAGUGUAAGCAUGUGAUCAGGAAGGACCCGCUUUGGUUCAAUGUGAAGAUUAGCUUGGGUUUUGUAGCCCAGA